rnacentral:lncRNA from 1 species
GCACAAAGCUCAAUACAUUUAAUGAAUGGUUGGAUAGGAUGGAUGCCAGAGUGAGGCUGUGUGUAUGUACUGGCAUAUAUAAAAUGCCUUCUGGCCUUUAACUUAGUGUCUAAUAGAGGAAGAUUUAUAAACAGGAAAAUUGGCUAGUAUUCAGGUAGGAACAAAAAUCAUGGGUCAGAGCAAUUGAACUCCAGGAGAAAAAGGGCAGUCUUCACUGCAGAGGUGACAUUGGAACUAGAUGUUAAAGAAUAAGUAGAAGUGUGCACUGUGUUUAAGCAUUUCAUACAUUCUCAUAUUUUUCCAUCUCUUGCAUGAUGUUCUCUGCCUUCCUUGAUUCUCCUCAGAAGGAAGGAAUUAUCUUUCCAAUUCUCAUAACAGUUCUUCUGAGGCUCUUUAUUAAACCGCUUUCUACUGUGUAUCUCAGUACUUUGCAUUCAUGCCUCACCACUUCUGCUUGAGGGCAGGAUCUGUGUGAGGUGUAGAGUCAUAGCCUCCAAUGGGCCUAGCACAUACUAAACACCUUUAAAAGAUCAAGAUUUUCCACAUCAUUGUGAGCCACUCACUUUACCACUGCAGAUACCACUGCAGGUGUCCACAGUGGUACAGACUUCCUUUUCUCCAAAUGCACUGUGCAAGAAGUAAGUAGAAUAAUUGCGAACAUCUUUUUCACAUAUCUCCCAACUUCAUCUCCCUCUCUAGAAGUAACCACUAUUAACAAUUUAUUACACGCUCUUACAGAUGUUUUCUGUGUAGAUUUUUCUACUAGGAUGAGCCUGUGCUCUAUGAUGUCAGCAUAACUUCUGGUUAUGAAGGUGAGAGGAUCCCAGUUAUGUCUGAAAAAGUGUACCUCUUGCUUUGUAAUUAUAGGAUACCACUCUCAGGGGAGAGUAGUGUUUCUUUAUUGCAAACAUAGUUUAUUUACUGAGAAACCAAGGUUUAUUUUCUUGGUCCUUUAGUCUCUAGAUGAAGAAUGACUUGUGGUUUCAAGGCCGUUGGGAGCUGAACUGUUCCAGGAUCUGAUACAUGCAGCAGGACCAGUGUGUCCCAGGAUAUGGCAAUCACUGUUCUCUGACUAAACCUACAGACAUUUGGAAUCCCUCUGUAUUAGUGUUCUCCAGAGAAACAGAACCAAUAGGAUCUGUGUAUGUAUGUAUAUAUGUAUGGUCAAUAGAUCCAUCUGUAUAGGUAUUUAUUAUCGGAAUUGGCUUAUCUGAUUAUGGUGGCUGAGAAGUCCUCCCAUUUGCAGUCUGCAAACUGGAGAACCAGGAAAACUGGAGAUGUAAUUCACUGAGUCAGGAGUCAGAAGGGCUGAGAACCAGGAGAGCCUAUGGUGUAACUCCCAGUCCCAGUUGGAAGGUGGGAGGGAGUGGGGUGAAGAAAUGGUGUAAGUCUGGAGUCCAAAGGCCCAACAACCAGGAGCUCCAGUGUAUAAGGGCAGGCAAACAUGAAUUGUCCCAGCUCAAGAAAAGAGAGAUAAUUCACUCCUCUUCCAUAUUUUUGUGCUAUUUUGGCUCUCAAUGGAUUGGAAGAUGCACACCCACAUAGGUGAAGCCAGAUCUUCUUUACUCAGUCUACUGUUUGAAAUGUUAAUCUUUUCCGGAAACACCCUCACAGACACACCUGGAAUAAUGUUUAAUCAGCUGUCUGGGCAUCCCUUACCUCAGUCAAGUUGACACAUAAAAUUAACCACCACACCCUUCUAUCUUCUUCCCAAAUUUUUCCUGCCUGAAUGCCAGUAUGAUAUCUGGAGGUGAAGUGGGA